rnacentral:tRNA from 1 species
GCUGGUAUGGUUCAGUGGUUUGAGUGCUGGACUACAACUCCAUGAGAUUAAGGUUUGAAUCCUCAACCAGCC